rnacentral:lncRNA from 1 species
AAAAAAAAAAAAAAAAAAAGAAUCAACAUGCACACACAGUACAUCACAAACCACUAUUCCCAUGUCACACACACAAGUGUUAAUUUUCCUAACGGCUGACACACAAAAGUUCAUACUAAAAAUAUUGAAUCAAACAACCUUUAAUCCUUUUUUUAAAAAUCCUUUACACUCUAUAGAAUCUAAACCCUAGACAAAGAAACAAAACGUCUCGUUUAAGUUAAAGGCUAUUAAAUACAAAGUUGAGAAUCCCAAAGAAGACGUAAUGUAGGAGAACACGUGAUGAUUGAUCUAAACAAAUGUCAACGCCUAGUCCAUCCUUAAAGCCAAACCUCACCCAUUUAUUAACCUAACUGCCUAACCGUCUUUC